UACGUAGGGUGCAAGCGUUAAUCGGAAUUACUGGGCGUAAAGCGUGCGCAGGCGGUUUUGUAAGUCAGAUGUGAAAGCCCCGGGCUUAACCUGGGAACUGCGUUUGAAACUACAAGGCUAGAGUGUGGCAGAGGGGGGUGGAAUUCCACGUGUAGCAGUGAAAUGCGUAGAGAUGUGGAGGAACACCGAUGGCGAAGGCAGCCCCCUGGGUUAACACUGACGCUCAGGCACGAAAGCGUGGGGAGCAAAC
rnacentral:rRNA from 1 species